AGAUUCCCAGGUCAUCUCAUAGACAGGGCUGCACUGGGCCUCCUGCCUAGGCCUGUUCGAUGAAGCACCAACAAGCCCCACAGCUUUGUUGCUUUUGCUAUGCCCACUGGGACCAGUGAGAGAAGUGUGGUCUUAUCCCUGGGAGGAGAGAAAGAGCCAGCAUCUGCAGGCGCCCACAGGAUGUCAAGGUCACAUGGAAUGAUGCUGAUCGAUAUAGACGUGAUCUCAGAGUUCACUCGCUCAUCAUAUAGUGGAGGAAACGAGGCCCAGGGAGGGGCGGAACAUUUUUCCAAGUCAUACAGCAAGAACUCAGAGGCCUCUUGGUUCCUGCUCUUGCCUUGAGGUGGUUCUGCGGGGCGCUCCAGAGCCCCCAAGAAAUUCUUCUGAAAUUCAGUUCUCCACAGGACACCUGGGCUCCUCCUCUGUCCUCCCAGCCCCUCACAGAGGAGUACUUUCCCUUCUGGCCUGCCUAAGUCUGUCUUUUCUUCUGGACUUCAGUGGCCACCAUGGACCUCCCAAGCUUUCUCUUGGGCUCUUCCUGUGCCGACCUCAGCUUGGCUGCCUCACACCCUAUCUGGUGGGCACUUACAGGAGCCGUGUCCAUGGAACACCACGCCUGGGCUGUGGAGGCCCCGUUCUGAGACCACGUGUAGUCCCAAAAAGGAAGCUAAAAGGGGUCAGAGGAGAACAUCCCUGUGUAGGGUGAGGGUGAAUCUCAGUCUCCCUGUCAACUCUCUUUAUCCUGACAUCCAGAAUUCCAGACCUUUGUGGGCACUGAUCCCUGAGACUGGGCUCUUUAAGCUCUUUCACUGAUCCCUGGGGUCCGAAACUUUCAGCUUGCACUUUGGUUUGGUAAACCACUGACUGUCCUACCAAACGCCCCCGCACCCCACAAACUCAACCUGUGCUCUUCAUGUGCUAUCUCCUGUUCGAUCCCCACACUGACCUUCUGGGUUAGGGACUUGCAUGUCCCCAUUUUAUAGAUGAGGAGCCUGAGGCCCAGAGAGGUAAGUCACCUGCCCAGUAACACACAGCCUGAGAUUGGCAGAGCCAGAUCUCAUGGAAUGAGAGCCCUGUCUCACCUCCCUAGAGACGGAGCUUAACUGAUAACUUCGAGUUGAUACUGAAAGGUCACAGGAAUUGCAGCAGAUAAGGUGUUCUGAGGAACUGGCUCUCUAGCCCCUGUGGUAAUUAAUUCAGUAUCCCUUUUUGUGUCCCAGAGAAGCACAGUGGCUAAAGCGCACAGCACAAGCUUGGAGAUCAGAUGGACAUGGCUUCAAAUCUCGUCUCUGCUGUUUACAAAAAGUAUGACCCCAGGAGAGGGAUUUAUACCCUCUGAGCUGUAGUUUCCUCAUCCACAAUGUGGGAGUAGGAUUUUAGAGGAUACCGAGAGAUUAAAUGAGAUCUUUCUUAUAGAGUGCUUAGCAAGGGGCUUGGCACCAUGGAUGGUAAUAUCAUCAUGAUGAUGCCAGUUAUUUUCAUUGCUAUUCCUUAUUAUUCAUCAGUAUUUUUAUUCAUUGCUAUUGCUGGUUGUAUUCAUCAUUAAUAAAUAAUAGCAUUGUUUCUU
rnacentral:lncRNA from 1 species